GUUAGAACGCUCGUAGUCGGAUUUCGGGGCGGGCCGACCGGUCUGCCGAUGGGUACGCACUGGUCGGCGCGUCCUUCCUUCCGGAGACCGCGCCUACUCUUAACUGAGCGGGUUCGGGAGACGGAUCGUUUACUUUGAAAAAAUCAGAGUGUUUCAAGCAGGCAGCUCGCUUUUGCAUGGAUUAGCAUGGGAUAAUGAAAUAGGACUUUGGUGCUAUUUUGUUGGUUUCGAACACCGAAGUAAUGAUUAAAAGGGACAGUCAGGGGCACUCGUAUUCCGCCGAGAGAGGUGAAAUUCUCAGACCAGCGGAAGACGAACCACUGCGAAAGCAUUUGCCAGGGAUGUUUUCACUGAUCAGGAACGAAAGUUAGGGGAUCGAAGAGGAUCAGAUACCCUCGUAGUCUUAACCAUAAACCAUGCCGACUAGGGAUUGGGGGAUGUUCACUGAUUGACUCCCUCAGCACCUUACGGGAAACUAAAGUCUUUGGGUUCCGGGGGGAGUAUGGUCGCAAGGCUGAAACUUAAAGGAAUUGACGGAAGGGCACCACCAGGUGUGGAGCCUGCGGCUUAAUUUGACUCAACACGGGGAAACUUACCAGGUCCAGACAUUGUGAGGAUUGACAGAUUGAGAGCUCUUUCUUGAUUCGAUGGGUGGUGGUGCAUGGCCGUUCUUAGUUGGUGGAGUGAUUUGUCUGGUUAAUUCCGUU
rnacentral:rRNA from 1 species